GAUGAACGCUGGCGGCGUGCCUAAUACAUGCAAGUCGAGCGAACGGACGAGAAGCUUGCUUCUCUGAUGUUAGCGGCGGACGGGUGAGUAACACGUGGAUAACCUACCUAUAAGACUGGGAUAACUUCGGGAAACCGGAGCUAAUACCGGAUAAUAUUUUGAACCGCACGGUUCAAAAGUGAAAGACGGUCUUGCUGUCACUUAUAGAUGGAUCCGCGCUGCAUUAGCUAGUUGGUAAGGUAACGGCUUACCAAGGCAACGAUGCAUAGCCGACCUGAGAGGGUGAUCGGCCACACUGGAACUGAGACACGGUACAGACUCCUACGGGGGGCAGCAGUAGGGAAUCUUCCGCAAUGGGCGAAAGCCUGACGGAGCAACGCCGCGUGAGUGAUGAAGGUCUUCGGAUCGUAAAACUCUGUUAUUAGGGAAGAACAUAUGUGUAAGUAACUGUGCACAUCUUGACGGUACCUAAUCAGAAAGCCACGGCUAACUACGUG
rnacentral:rRNA from 1 species